rnacentral:rRNA from 1 species
AUGCUUUGGAAGAAGCUUGUACAGUUUGGGAAGGGGUUUUUUGAGAGAAAAGAAGAAUCUACUUCAACCGAUAUGCCCUUAGGCACGGCCAUGCAUAACAUAGAAAUCACACGUGGAAGGGGUGGGCAAUUAGCUAGAGCAGCAGGUGCUGUAGCGAAACUCAUUGCAAAAGAGGGUAAAUCGGCCACUUUAAGAUUACCAUCUGGGGAGGUCCGUUUAGUAUCCCAAAACUGCUUAGCAACAGUCGGACAAGUGGGUAAUGUUGGGGCGAACCAAAAAAGUUUGGGUAGAGCCGGAUCUAAGUGUUGGCUAGGUAAACGCCCCGUAGUAAGAGGGGUAGUUAUGAACCCUGUGGACCACCCCCAUGGGGGCGGUGAAGGGAAAGCUCCCAUUGGUAGAAAAAAACCCACAACCCCUUGGGGUUAUCCUGCGCUUGGAAGAAGAACUAGGAAAAGGAAAAAAUAUAGCGAUAGUUUUAUUCUUCGUCGCCCUGUGACACGAAAAAAAACGAAUCCUUUUGUAGCUCAUCAUUUAUUGGCAAAGAUAGAAAAGGUCAAUAUGAAGGAGGAGAAAGAAACAAUAGUAACGUGGUCCCGGGCAUCUAGCAUUCUACCCACAAUGGUUGGCCAUACAAUCGCGAUUCAUAAUGGAAAGGAACAUAUACCUAUUUACAUAACAAAUCCUAUGGUAGGUCGCAAAUUGGGGGAAUUCGUGCCUACUCGGCAUUUCACGAGUUAUGAAAAUGCAAGAAAGGAUACUAAAUCUCGUCGUUAA